rnacentral:lncRNA from 7 species
AAAAAGUCUGAGAGUCUCCCCUGGCAAAAAUAAGUAAAUAUCUCUAGACUCUGGCAGAAGGUGUUACAAGGUGUAAUUGUGCUCUUUGCUGCAUGACUGCUGGAAGUGUGAUGCUCUGGUUUUAUCAUCAUCAAAAGCUGCAUGGGAAGGGAGAGGCUGGGAGAGCUGGGACUGCGCAGCCUGGAGGAGAGAAGGCUCGGGGGGAUCUCUACGUGUGUACAGAUGCCACAGAACAGACCAGAACCAUGAGGAGCCAAGCCAGAGGUGCUGGGCCCCAGAUCACUUCUCGGAUGCCAGAAGAGCCGCUGCAGUGUUUGUUUCCUCAUGAAGAGAUCUGACAUUUGCUUCUCUCCAUACUUCUCUAUUCCUGCUCGAUAGCUGAAAGUGCAAACUCAGCACAGUCAAUGUUCUUCUCUGACACUGAGAAAAGAAAUACCAUUAGCGUGUGAAUGAUGUAUGAGGUAACAAUUCCUGCACCCCUCUCUUUUUCUUCAGGGGUUGACUAUGAGUAGGUCCCUCUCUCCUUCCCUCCCACAGUCCAUCAUGGACCUAAAGCUUUGACCUUCACUCUCUGCAACCUUUUUCUCCUAUGAGUAACUGCUUCCCAGCAGAGGCUGCAUAAUUAGGCAGAAGGCAUUAGGCAUAUGACAAAUGACACUCUUUUGGUAGACUGCAGAUUCGGAGGUCAAGCACACUAUUAAUAAUUCUCUGACUUUUUAAAAGCUGUAUUUCCUCCGUUUGUUGGCAACAUAAUUUGAAAGGUCUGUGCAAACCACUUAAAACAGCAGCUGAACACAGACAUUUCAGUACUGUCCAAUAUCGAUUUUUGUCUCUAACUUAUCUCAUUGCUGAGACUGGUUUCAAUAUCCUGUGAAGUUUAAGUGAAGAUACUUCCAGUCUCAAUAGCUGUGUGCUCCCAAUUGAUAUCAUAGGUAAGUCGGUAGUAUUUUCCUUAGUAACAUGCUUUGGCUCAAUCAGGAAGUGUACCACAUAAUGUCAAUCAUAGACCAUUGCUGCCUGAAUCAAAGUAAAGAUGGGUGAGGAACAAAUAGAGGUGUGCUGGACUGGGGGACCCAGUAACCAGGCUGCUUCCAGGCUGAACCUCUUCCAGGAAAAAAUUGGGCACAAAAUUGGGUACAGCACACUAUUUCGGCCUGGAGACAGAGCACCCAAGGUACAAGGAACUUCGGUAAAUUCAAGGAACUAGUCAGUGCACUCCCAUGAAAUAGAACCUUAAAGGAGAAAGACAUUCAGGAAAUUUAGCAAUUUCUUAACCAAAACUAAGGGCACAAGAUGAGCAUACGAAAUGUGAAAAUGUGAAG